CCAGUUAGGGUUUAAUGGUUC
rnacentral:miRNA from 1 species